rnacentral:rRNA from 1 species
GAGUUUGAUCGUGGCUCAGAACGAACGCUGGCGGCGUGGAUAAGACAUGCAAGUCGAACGUGGCAGACCUUGUUAGCAAUAAUAGGGGCUGUCUAGUGGCGAAAGGGUGAGUAACACGUGGGAAUCUGCCCGGAAGUGGGGGAUAGCUCGCCGAAAGGCGAAUUAAUACCGCAUGUGGUCGCAAGACCAAAGCGGGGGACCGCAAGGCCUCGCGCUUCCGGAGGAGCCCGCGUCCUAUCAGCUUGUUGGCGGGGUAACGGCCCACCAAGGCUUUGACGGGUAGCUGGUCUGAGAGGACGACCAGCCACACUGGAACUGAGACACGGUCCAGACACCUACGGGUGGCAGCAGUCGAGAAUUUUUCACAAUGGGCGAAAGCCUGAUGGAGCGACGCCGCGUGGAGGAUGAAGGUCUUCGGAUCGUAAACUCCUGUCACCCCAGAACAAGGAAGCCGACCUAAUACGACGGCAACUUGAUGGUAUGGGGAGAGGAAGGGACGGCUAAACUCUGUGCCAGCCGCCGCUGU